rfam:Pteropus alecto contig27901, whole genome shotgun sequence.
GGCUCCAUAGUGUAGUAGUUAACACGUCUGCUUUACACACAGAAGGUCCUGGAUUCACGCCCCAGGUGGAGCCA